UGCAGUCGACGGAACGACAGGAGCUUGCUCCUGGGCGUCGAGUGGCGGACGGGUGAGUAAUGCAUAGGAAUCUGCCCAUGUAGUGGGGGACAACCUGGGGAAACUCAGGCUAAUACCGCAUGAGCCCUUCGGGGGAAAGCAGGGGAUCUUCGGACCUUGCGCUAUUGGAUGAGCCUAUGUCUGAUUAGCUUGUUGGUGGGGUAACGGCCUACCAAGGCGACGAUCAGUAGCUGGUCUGAGAGGACGAUCAGCCACACUGGGACUGAGACACGGCCCAGACUCCUACGGGAGGCAGCAGUGGGGAAUAUUGGACAAUGGGCGCAAGCCUGAUCCAGCAAUGCCGCGUGUGUGAAGAAGGCCUGCGGGUUGUAAAGCACUUUCAGUGGGGAGGAAAAGCUCAAGGUUAAUAACCUUGGGUCUUGACGUUAUCCACAGAAGAAGCACCGGCUAACUCUGUGCCAGCAGCCGCGGUAAUACG
rnacentral:rRNA from 1 species